CUACGGGGNNGSWGCAGUAGGGAAUCUUCCGCAAUGGGCGAAAGCCUGACGGAGCAAUGCCGCGUGAGUGAUGAAGGUUUUCGGAUCGUAAAGCUCUGUUGCCAGGGAAGAACGUCCUUGAGAGUAACUGCUYAAGGAGUGACGGUACCUGAGAAGAAAGCCCCGGCUAACUACGUGCCAGCAGCCGCGGUAAUACGUAGGGGGCAAGCGUUGUCCGGAAUUAUUGGGCGUAAAGCGCGCGCAGGCGGUCAUUUAAGUCUGGUGUUUAAUCCCGGGGCUCAACCCCGGAUCGCACUGGAAACUGGAUGACUUGAGUGCAGAAGAGGAGAGUGGAAUUCCACGUGUAGCGGUGAAAUGCGUAGAGAUGUGGAGGAACACCAGUGGCGAAGGCGACUCUCUGGGCUGUAACUGACGCUGAGGCGCGAAAGCGUGGGGAGCAAACAGGAUUASAUACCCUAAGUAGUCA
rnacentral:rRNA from 1 species